CUUAUCUCUCCACAGCCGCAUGGAGAGAUCUUCUCCUUCACCAAACCGACUCAUCUCUCCACAACCGCCUCUUCUCCUUCACCAAAAUCGUUUCCCUCACUUCACCCACCUUUCUUUCUACCAUGUAAUUUGCUAUAUUUUUUGUGGUGAUCUGUUUAAGAGGUGUGGUGAUCUAGCUUUAAAAUGGUUUCGUAUGUAUAUACUUGUAUAUAUAUACUUCUUCAUGCUCUGAUUUCUUCACCAAAAAAGGUUGAUAGGUUUGCUGCAAAGCCGAGGGGAAACCGAGAGAGAAACAAAUGAAGAACACUUGGUGUUAUUGAGGGUACGAUUGGGUCCAAGGAGUUAAGAGCAAGGUGAGUGUUUUUUUCUUGGGUUUCCAUUGAAGAUACAGACCUUGAACAUGUUUAUUUAGUCCCUUAAUCCCUUGUAGCAGAAAGCAAAGGAAAGGAGAGAAUGUUCUUGGGAGUUCGGUACAAGAACAGUCCUAAGGAAAAACCGUUUUGUACUAAAUUGGGGAGAAGAAGAAACUACCAAGAACCAGCCACAGAAAGAGCACUUUGUGUCUAGAAACACUUAUCAAGGUGUUGGGAAUGAUUCAUUAUGAUAGAUCUUCAGUUUUGGGAUGAUUUGGUGGUGGUUAGUGCUUGGUAGGUGGCUGUCAUGAAAAAUACAGCACCAUUGUUGCCGGCGCUUCUCCUUUCAAAUGCAUUGGCUUAGGCAUGGUUCAACAAGUAAAAUUAGAGAUUGAGGGAUGAAGAUCUUACUGCGGCAAGGCUUCGAUCGAAUUGAAACUUUGCAAGAGACUUAAUUCCAGAACCUUACACAGAGAUAGCAUCUCAUUUUCGUCUCUCUCUGCAUCUCGCCCUUGCCUCCGCCGACGUCUCC